AAAUCUAGAAUAACUGGAACGCUCACGCGUUGAAAAAAAGAAAAGAAAAUUUCCCUUAUGAAGCUAUUGGUUUUCCCUCGUGUUUUUAUAUUCAACAGCAUAUUUAAUAUAUACUUCAUACAACUUUGUUCAUCAUAAUUAAAACCUGCGUUGCUGACAACAAUCUAAGUUAAAGGAUAUAGCAUUUGCUUAUUUAAAUAAAGCUUGUGAAUUAUUUGUGGUUGUGUACUUUUCUAUCUCUUCUACGAUCUACUUUUGAACACAAUCAUGCCUAAUAAGUGCUCCUCCGGAUAUGAUGUAAAACCAGCCAUAGCAAGGUUAUCGCUCCAUUCUUUUCCAUUGGAUGAAUCCUCAAAAGGUGUCUGGCUUAGAGCCAUUCCACGGGACAGCAAUGGGACUUAGGCACCUUCUAAGUAUUCGAGGGUCUUUUCUCUCGAGGAUGACUUUGUAUAUGAGAGUACAGACUACAAGAGGAAAUAUUGAUCUUAUGGAAUUGAAGAUAAUAAGCUCCAAAAACGUUAUUUGAAACCCUCUGCAGUGCCUAGUAUUUUCAGUGAUGAUAAAUAGUGAUUUGACAUUCAAUUUAUUCCACAAGAACGUCAACCUAGAUCGGAGCUACGUGAAUCACCUCACAACGAAUAGAAAGAUCACCUUGGUAAGCCUUCUCCAGAACAUCCUUGCGCAUAUGAAGAGUAUUCCUUUUUCUCCAAUGAAAGAUCUUCCCUUGUAAAAUUUGAUGGCAUUGAUCAGAGUGACAUAAAAAAUAUUCAUUCUGACUCUGAUAAAAAAACAAGAUUUAUACCAAGAAGAAAAGAUUUUUAUUUUGUUAACAGAAUAAAAAAAUUGUUAAACUUACUUCCCAAUAAUAUAUAUGUAUGUUGUGUCUUGUUGUUAUAUUAUGAAAGUUGUCAAUAAUUCCUUAAUCUAUUUAAAAUAAUAAAUAAUAGUUGUUAAAA
rnacentral:lncRNA from 1 species